rnacentral:lncRNA from 1 species
GGAGCAUUUCGGGAAUGUUUCCCUCAUAACUGCUUUAUCAUUUUGAUCAUAGCAAAGAUUUAUCUCUGUGUUAUUCAACAAUUAGAAGACAAAACCUAAAAAAAAAAUUCCCAUAAAUAGAAGGGAAUAUACAGUUUACUUUAUACACUGUUAAUUUCACCAAAGCCUUGGUUAAUACACCUAAUUCACUGAAGCACUUUGUAACAUUCAAAAGCUGUGCUGAAAAGCUAAAUCAGAGUUGAGAGUAGGUAGAAGAAGGUGCAGGAUAAACCAGAAAAACUAUCCCAAUUCAUCAAUUUUUCUCUAUGUGAAAUGGGCAUUUUAACCAACCAUCAAUUACUAUAUGUUGUAGAUCUUAACCACUGAAAAUGACAGUAAAAUCGCUACAAAGAGGGCUUCAAUCCAUUCAACAUGG